rnacentral:rRNA from 1 species
GGGCGCAAGCCUGAUGCAUCAACGCCGCGUGAUGGAUGAAGGGUUUCGGCUCGUAAACCUCUUUUCUGUGUGAAGAGCAAGGACGGCAGCACAGGAAUAAGUCUCGUCUAACUACUUACCAGGAGUCGCGGUAAGACGUAGGAGGCGAGCGUUAUCCGGAAUUACUGGGCGUAAAGCGCACGCAGGCGGCGCUGCAAGUGGUGCGUGAAAGCUCCCGGAUCAACUGGGAGAGGCCGUACCACAACUAGCGGUUGCUAGAGACAGAUAGAGGUCGACAGAAUUCCGGGUGGAAUGGUGAAAAGCGUAGAGAUCCGGAGGAAUACCAGAGGCGAAGGCGGUCGGCUGGGUCCGUUCCGACGCUGAGGUGCGAAACUCUGGGGAGCGAACGGGAUUAGAAACCCCGGUAGUCCACACCGUUAACGAUGCAUAAUAGUUGUUAGGUGCUUACGGGCGAUGAGUGACGAAGCCUACGCGUUUAGUAUACCUCCUGGGGAGUACGGUCGCAAGGCUAAUACUCAAAGGUAUUGACGGGGGCCAGCACAAGCUAGCGGAGCGUGUGGUAUAAUUCGAGGCUACACGAAGAACAUUACCUGGGCUUUACAUGAUAGUAGUACCGUGGUGGAUACAUCGGGGGACCUUCGGGAGCUAUCACAGGUGCUGCAUGGCUGUCGUCAGCUCGUGCCGUGAGGUGUUCGGUUAAGUCCGGAGACGAGCGCAACCCCUGGCGUUAGUUACAAGUGUCUAACGAGAUUGCCCGGGGAAACUGGGAGGAAGGUGGGGAUGACGUCAAGUCAGCAUGGCCUUUAUGUCCAGGGCGACACACACGUUACAAUGGCCGGUACUAUAGGCAGCCAAGCCACGGUGGUGGAGCGAAUCCAACUAAUCCGGUCUCAGUUCAGACUUGUAGGCUGCAACUCGCCUGCAUGAAGUCGGAGUUGCUAGUAUACG